UACGGAGGGUGCAAGCGUUAUCCGGAUUCACUGGGUUUAAAGGGUGCGUAGGAGGGCAGGUAAGUCAGCGGUGAAAUCUCCAAGCUUAACUUGGAAACUGCCAUUGAUGCUAUCUGUCUUGAAUGCGGUGGAGGUGAGCGGAAUAUGUCAUGUAGCGGUGAAAUGCUUAGAUAUGACAUAGAACACCGAUUGCGAAGGCAGCUCGCUACACCUGCAUUGACUCUGAGGCACGAAAGCGUGGGGAUCAAACAGG
rnacentral:rRNA from 1 species